AGAUUGAACGGUGGCGGCAGGCCUAACACAUGCAAGUCGAGCGGUAGAGAGGUGCUUGCACCUCUUGAGAGCGGCGGACGGGUGAGUAAUGCCUAGGAAUCUGCCUAGUGGUGGGGGAUAACGUUCGGAAACGGACGCUAAUACCGCAUACGUCCUACGGGAGAAAGCGGGGGACCUUCGGGCCUCGCGCCAUUAGAUGAGCCUAGGUCGGAUUAGCUAGUUGGUGAGGUAAUGGCUCACCAAGGCGACGAUCCGUAACUGGUCUGAGAGGAUGAUCAGUCACACUGGAACUGAGACACGGUCCAGACUCCUACGGGAGGCAGCAGUGGGGAAUAGUUGGACAAU
rnacentral:rRNA from 1 species